rnacentral:rRNA from 1 species
AUGCAAGUCGAGGGGAAACGACAUCGAAAGCUUGCUUUUGAUGGGCGUCGACCGGCGCACGGGUGAGUAACGCGUAUCCAACCUGCCCAUCACUUGGGGAUAACCUUGCGAAAGUAAGACUAAUACCCAAUGAUAUCUCUAGAAGACAUCUGAAAGAGAUUAAAGAUUUAUCGGUGAUGGAUGGGGAUGCGUCUGAUUAGCUUGUUGGCGGGGUAACGGCCCACCAAGGCGACGAUCAGUAGGGGUUCUGAGAGGAAGGUCCCCCACAUUGGAACUGAGACACGGUCCAAACUCCUACGGGAGGCAGCAGUGAGGAAUAUUGGUCAAUGGACGAGAGUCUGAACCAGCCAAGUAGCGUGCAGGAUGACGGCCCUAUGGGUUGUAAACUGCUUUUACAAGGGAAUAAAGUGAGUCUCGUGAGACUUUUUGCAUGUACCUUAUGAAUAAGGACCGGCUAAUUCCGUGCCAGCAGCCGCGGUAAUACGGAAGGUCCGGGCGUUAUCCGGAUUUAUUGGGUUUAAAGGGAGCGUAGGCCGGAGAUUAAGCGUGUUGUGAAAUGUAGACGCUCAACGUCUGCACUGCAGCGCGAACUGGUUUCCUUGAGUACGCACAAAGUGGGCGGAAUUCGUGGUGUAGCGGUGAAAUGCUUAGAUAUCACGAAGAACUCCGAUUGCGAAGGCAGCUCACUGGAGCGCAACUGACGCUGAAGCUCGAAAGUGCGGGUAUCGAACAGGAUUAGAUACCCUGGUAGUCCGCACGGUAAACGAUGGAUGCCCGCUGUUGGUCUGAAUAGGUCAGCGGCCAAGCG